AACUAUUCCUCCAAGUUCAACUGACAAUGCCACUCAAACUUUUGACAAGAUCAAUCAAAUUCAAGCUCAAAUUGCAUUACUUCGUCUAGAGAACAAAUAUAGAUGUAUGCAAUGUCCCACAUUGCUUUAAAAAAUAGAAAAUGGUUUAAAAUCACUAUCAAAAGAAUUGAAAUAGUUUCGAAUACGAAUGAGAAAAAGUUUGAAUUAAUAGUCGUCUAAAAUUAAAAGCAUUACCCGGUUUACUCCGAUUUUUUAUUUUAAAGAAUUGAAAGUUUUAGAAUAAUCAUAGCAGACGGGAAUAACUCGUACAAAAAAGUGAAAUAUUUUUUGGUAAGGUCAAGAGUCAAAGAGGCGUAAUUUAUUAAUGACAUAAACGUGACAGGAAGUACAAUCUACUUACUCAUGUUAUUACACAUAUUUUUAUCAAUCUAAAUAUUGCUAAGAGAAAUAAUCAAGUCAAUAACCCGAGAAAACUAUGAUAAGAGAUCUCAAAGUGUCUCCAAUUUCUGCUCGGGUUCUCCUAACAUAUAGUUACUACACUAUUGACCAUGUAUGAUACAAUUUAUUUACUUCCUUCUUAUGUGUAUGCUUUCUAAGUUAAUACUUUCUAAUUUAACUUCUUGUUCUUGUUGCAGGGAGUCUACAACCCAUUUACUAAUAAGCUUGUUGUUAUAAUCAUGGUCAUCUCGUCUUAUUGACCGACUGUGGGUGGAUCUAGUUACAAGUCUCCCUGUCUUUGAAGCAUAUGUUUGCAUCGGUUAGGGUCAUGGUCGAGAUGGCUACAUACUCAUAGCUAUGAUUGAUGUAUAUCGUUUAGAUUUAGAGCCGAUGCCGGUUUGAGUUGAAUUCCUUGGUUAAACUUGCUGAGAUGAAUUUUGUUUCUUAACAUUCGAUUUAGUAUAUGUUUUCUUAGUAUAUGUAAAAAGGUUACUAGUAUAUGUGAUAACUUUAGUCUAUGUGAUAUAAUUAUGAGGUGAUUUGACAUUUUGGACAGAGUAAGACUUGUAGAGUUUAAUUCAUCAGUUAUAU
rnacentral:sRNA from 1 species